rnacentral:misc_RNA from 1 species
UGAGCCUGUAGUCGUUACCAA